UGCUACACGCCCCACCUCCCCGAAUGUUGGAGCACGCCCCAGAGGAUGAGCCAUUGUGGAGCUGUAACUGACUAUACCCCAUCUUUCUGAUGUGAUAUCAGAGGCCACAGCUGCUUAUCCCAAGUGGCCCUUCUGUGGUAGGUUACAGCCCAGUCCUGCCUCCUUGGGUCUGACAGGAUUUCUGGGCCUCUUUUCCUUGCCUGUGCCAUCUGUAUACUACCUGUGCAUAUGGGUGCAAGAGCCUGUUGCUGUGGUACAUCCUGGGCCUGUGAUACUUGUGUCCUCUGUUGCUGGCUGUUCUGAAGCUCUUCUGGAUGCCCAGACCUUUUGUGAUUCAGUUGAACUCAGCAUCAGCUUGGCCUCUGCUGACUUCCUUGUGUUCCCAUGAUGCGUGGGAAGGACAUUGGCUUGGGAAGGAGACCUGGGUGAGGAUGGCUUCACCGUUACUCC